rnacentral:rRNA from 1 species
CAGCCGCCGCGGUAAUACGUAGGGGGCGAGCGUUGUCCGGAAUUAUUGGGCGUAAAGCGCGCGCAGGCGGUCCUUUAAGUCUGAUGUGAAAGCCCACGGCUCAACCGUGGAGGGUCAUUGGAAACUGGGGGACUUGAGUGCAGGAGAGGAGAGCGGAAUUCCACGUGUAGCGGUGAAAUGCGUAGAGAUGUGGAGGAACACCAGUGGCGAAGGCGGCUCUCUGGCCUGUAACUGACGCUGAGGCGCGAAAGCGUGGGGAGCAAACAGGAUUAGAUACCCUGGUAGUCCACGCCGUAAACGAUGAGUGCUAAGUGUUAGAGGGGUCACACCCUUUAGUGCUGCAGCUAACGCGAUAAGCACUCCGCCUGGGGAGUACGGCCGCAAGGCUGAAACUUAAAGGAAUUGGGGG